rnacentral:rRNA from 1 species
GUGCCAGCAGCCGCGGUAAUACGUAGGUGGCAAGCGUUAUCCGGAAUUAUUGGGCGUAAAGCGCGCGUAGGCGGUUUUUUAAGUCUGAUGUGAAAGCCCACGGCUCAACCGUGGAGGGUCAUUGGAAACUGGAAAACUUGAGUGCGGAAGAGGAAAGUGGAAUUCCAUGUGUAGCGGUGAAAUGCGCAGAGAUAUGGAGGAACACCAGUGGCGAAGGCGACUUUCUGGUCUGUAACUGACGCUGAUGUGCGAAAGCGUGGGGAUCAAACAGGAUUAGAU